rnacentral:rRNA from 1 species
GGAAGUAAAAGUCGUAACAAGGUCUCCGUUGGUGAACCAGCGGAGGGAUCAUUACAGAGUUGCAAAACUCCAAACCAUUGUGAACUUACCUUUGCCGUUGCUUCGGCGGGCGGCCCGGGCCCUGUGCCCGGCGCCCCUCGGCCCCACUCGGGGCGCCCGCCGGAGGUAAACCAAACUCUUGAAUUGUAUGGCCUCUCUGAGUCUUCUGUACUGAAUAAGUCAAAACUUUCAACAACGGAUCUCUUGGUUCUGGCAUCGAUGAAGAACGCAGCGAAAUGCGAUAAGUAAUGUGAAUUGCAGAAUUCAGUGAAUCAUCGAAUCUUUGAACGCACAUUGCGCCCGCCAGUAUUCUGGCGGGCAUGCCUGUUCGAGCGUCAUUUCAACCAUCAAGCCCCGGGCUUGUGUUGGGGACCUGCGGCUGCCGCAGGCCCUGAAAACCAGUGGCGGGCUCGCUAGUCACUCCGAGCGUAGUAGUUUACACCUCGCUCAGGGCGUGCUGCGGGUUCCGGCCGUUAAAAGCCUUAUUUUACCCAAGGUUGACCUCGGAUCAGGUAGGAAGACCCGCUGAACUUAAGCAUAUCAAUAAGCGGAGG